GGGAUUCUAUGGGUCUGUAUGGGAUCCUGUGGGGUUUUCUGGGAUCCCGUGGGUCUGCCCCACACAUCCGUGGGUCCCGCAGGUUCGAGGAGCUCUCCAACCUGAUCCCAUUUGUUUCUAUGGGGCUAUGGUUUGUUUCUAUGGGGUUUAUCUCAACUUUGUGGGUCUGUGUGGGAUUCUAUGGGUCUGUAUGGGAUCCUGUGGGGUUUUCUGGGAUCCCGUGGGUCUGCCCCACACAUCCGUGGGUCCCGCAGGUUCGAGGAGCUCUCCAACCUGAUCCCAUUUGUUUCUAUGGGGCUAUGGUUUGUUUCUAUGGGGUUUAUCUCAACUUUGUGGGUCUGUGUGGGAUUCUAUGGGUCUGUAUGGGAUCCUGUGGGGUUUUCUGGGAUCCCGUGGGUCUGCCCCACACAUCCGUGGGUCCCGCAGGUUCGAGGAGCUCUCCAACCUGAUCCCAUUUGUUUCUAUGGGGCUAUGGUUUGUUUCUAUGGGGUUUAUCUCAACUUUGUGGGUCUGUGUGGGAUUCUAUGGGUCUGUAUGGGAUCCUGUGGGGUUUUCUGGGAUCCCGUGGGUCUGCCCCACACAUCCGUGGGUCCCGCAGGUUCGAGGAGCUCUCCAACCUGAUCCCAUUUGUUUCUAUGGGGCUAUGGUUUGUUUCUAUGGGGUUUAUCUCAACUUUGUGGGUCUGUGUGGGAUUCUAUGGGUCUGUAUGGGAUCCUGUGGGGUUUUCUGGGAUCCCGUGGGUCUGCCCCACACAUCCGUGGGUCCCGCAGGUUCGAGGAGCUCUCCAACCUGAUCCCAUUUGUUUCUAUGGGGCUAUGGUUUGUUUCUAUGGGGUUUAUCUCAACUUUGUGGGUCUGUGUGGGAUUCUAUGGGUCUGUAUGGGAUCCUGUGGGGUUUUCUGGGAUCCCGUGGGUCUGCCCCACACAUCCGUGGGUCCCGCAGGUUCGAGGAGCUCUCCAACCUGAUCCCAUUUGUUUCUAUGGGGCUAUGGUUUGUUUCUAUGGGGUUUAUCUCAACUUUGUGGGUCUGUGUGGGAUUCUAUGGGUCUGUAUGGGAUCCUAUGGGUCUGUAUGGGACCCUAUGGAGUUUUCUGGGAUGCUAUGGGUCUGCCCCACACAUCCGUGGGUCCCGCAGGUUCGAGGAGCUCUCCAACCUGAUCCGAACCAUCCGCAACGCCAUGAAGAUCCGCGACGUCACCCGGUGCCUGGAGGAGUUCGAGCUGCUGGGCAGAGCCUACGCCAAGGCCAGGGGGGUGCUGGACAAGGAGGGGGUGCCGCGCUUCUACGUCAGGCUGCUGGCCGACCUGGAGGACUACCUGAACGAGAACCCCGAGCAAUCGGCGGACGAGGAUGAGGAGAAGAAGAGCCGAGACUCCGAGGGUGAGUGUGGGGCGGCCCCAUGGAUCUGUGGGGGCUGUGGGGGGGGCCUAUGG
rnacentral:lncRNA from 1 species